rnacentral:rRNA from 1 species
UCCAGAGGUCUCAAGCGUUGUUCGGAUUCAUUGGGCGUAAAGGGUGCGUAGGCGGCGCGGUAAGUCGGGUGUGAAAUCUCGGGGCUUAACUCCGAAACUGCAUUCGAUACUGCCGUGCUUGAGGACUGGAGAGGAGACUGGAAUUUACGGUGUAGCGGUGAAAUGCGUAGAUAUCGUAAGGCAGACCAGUGGCGAAGGCGGGUCUCUCGACAGUUCCUGACGCUGAGGCACGAAAGCGUGGGGAUCAAACAGG